GUGAACAACAUGAGGUCUUCAAGAUGUUUCAUUGUCAAUAUGACAUUCUUGUUAGCUCUUUUCAUCAUGACUUCAGAUUUGUGCACGAUGAAGACAGAAGCAAGAGGAAUCAUUUAUAGAACACCAUGUGAUAACGAUAAGGAGUGUCAGAUUGGGUGUCAUAAUCAAAAUUGUGGUUGUGCAGCGGUAUGCAUUCAACAUGUUUGCCAAUGUCCACAUCUAAUUGCAACCCAUACUGAUACUGUCAAAUCACUCCACCUAGCACCACCACCACACCACCAUCAACCACCACACCGAGCACCAUCACCACACCACCAUGGCCCAUCACACCACCACCCACAUCACCACCAAGCACCACCACCACACCAUGCAUCCUCAAAUUGAGUCAUCUUCUUCGGAUGGAAUUGAUCAUCAACUUCCUUUUCACAUGUAUUCUUAGUUCUUAAUAAAAUGUGAUUGUUUCAUGUCUCA